rnacentral:rRNA from 1 species
GACAGAGGGUGCAAGCGUUGUUCGGAAUCAUUGGGCGUAAAGGGCGCGUAGGCGGCUCUGUAAGUCGGAUGUGAAAGCCCAGGGCUCAACCUUGGAAGUGCAUCCGAAACUACGGAACUAGAGUCCCGGAGAGGGUGGUGGAAUUCCCAGUGUAGAGGUGAAAUUCGUAGAUAUUGGGAGGAACACCGGUGGCGAAGGCGACCGCCUGGACGGAGACUGACGCUGAGGCGCGAGAGCGUGGGGAGCAAACAGG